CCUGAUGAGAAGUACUGAUGGAAAACUAGUGAGGUUAUUGUCAGUUAACAUUGAUUUCAAAUUAAGUUCAAUCCAUUUGAAUGCUGAAACUAGAAAAGCUAUACAGUGUUUCGGUAUUCAUGGUACUGUUUUCUUUGAUAAUCGACAAAUAAAUGGACAAAUAAUAGUUAAACUUAAAACAAGUGUCGAAGAAGUAAAGUGUAGUGCAGAUAGUACGGUUGAUGCAAAAGCUCAGGAAAUUGUGAUUUCAGCACUUGUUUUAUUGUUCUGUGUACUGCACGGACUGUUUUGUUUGUACAGUUCGAUUACUUCUUUCAUUCUGUACAUGAAAACAAAGGACUAUUACGAGAAGGAAAAAGGAACGAUACUGUCUAAAAGAGCAUGUUGGGAAAUCUUUAAACUGAAUGAUUUGAUAAUAUGUUUUUCGCAUAUCAUAACAAUAGUUGGAUCAGUAAUAAAAUUAAGUAUUGACCAUGGGGUGAGUAAGAUUCCGUUUAAGGUAAUAGGAAACACAUUUGAAAGUAUAUCGUGAUAAAAUUGAAAAACUCGAUGAUCGAUUCAAGAUUCAAGUUAUGAGGGAGGUUUGAUCAGAUUGGAAAGGUUUUCGAGAAUCAUUUUCAUAGCAAAAGCAAUGCACAAAUGUCCUGUAUUUUAAUUACCUACCAGACACAAUCUUGCACUCAUAUACGAUCCGUUCUAUCUAAUUUUUAUUUAUUUACCUGUUUUAAACAAAAUAAAUCACUACAGAAUUUACAAUGAGAAAAACAUAAAAAUCAGCAAAAAUCUAAACAAAACUGAAGUUUUUAGAUGCCAAGAUUUCUUAAAAGUAAAUAGAGUUAAGUUGGACUGCUUUAGGCCAACACAAGAUACACUUUUCUAUUCUAACUGAGGAAAACUAACGACCCCAUCUUAAAUCAUAUCAACGUAGGCUUUCAAAUAUAAUUUUGUUUAUUCAUUAUUAAAAAAUUCCGGAUGCAUAUAAGUAUAACGGGAAUUGAUUGUCUUCUUGCGCAUGAGUAAUACAUGUACAUGUAGGCGUAGGAAAAAGUAAAAUAAUAAGAAUACCAAACUCCAAGGAAAAUUCAAAACCGGAAAGUCCCUUAUCAAAUGGCAAAAUCAAAAGCCUUAACACAUCAAACGAAUGGAUUUUUAGCGACAAAAAAUUAGGUUGUUAAGAGACGGCUUUAUGUAUUUAAUUAAAGCCUGAACUUUGUACUGUGAACAUCGUAUUUUUUUAAGGGAUGUUUAAAGAAGAAAGAAUUGCAUAUUUUUGUAUUUUGAUAAAUAUAUUAAUUUUUUAUAUAGGUGGAAUGGCUAUACAAACGUUAUGGUAUUUAUAGCCUUAGUCUUAAAGUUUCGCUGGCAUUGACAAAAGGACACAGGUUUCUUUAAAUGGGUUUUUCCUGGUCGGCCACGGAAGAUUGCAAUGUAAUUGUUCAAUUUUUCAAAUGCAAACGUUUAAAAACGUGAGAUUAAAUUUCUAAUUCAAAUUAUUGGAUUCAAAUUUUAUAGUAUAUAUGUUUAUAUUGAUCAUUUGUCUUAUUAAAUCUCCGGCUCACAAUAUGUAGUACUAGAGCUAUUCAACAAACACAAGUUAGUGUUAGGUUUUUCUUUAAUAGUUGGGUUAAAUGAAUUUAGUGGAAAGAAGACCCUUUUAUACAUGUAUGUUCUACUUCAGAUACAAACAAAUUAUAUUAUAUCAAUGUACGAUACAACUGGUAUCCUCCUUGGCUUUGGCUGUUUGUUUACAUGGAUGAGUGUCUUGCAUUAUUUAGCGUAUGAUCAUGUUUUUAGCCUUUUAUUUUCUGUGAUGGAAAGAUCAGCGUGUGUUGUUAUAAAGUUUCUGGCCUGCAUUUCUAUAUUAUUUGCUGGGUUUGUGUUAUUUGCAUGGGUUGUCCUUGGACCCUACCAUAUAAAGUUUGCCUCCGUGACAUCCACCAUCCAGUCUUUGUUGGCUAUUAUGCACGGAGACGAAGUUUAUGUCACUUUUACUGCCAUUGACUCUGACAAAGAGAUUAUUUCGAUUUUCAAUAACAUUUUUCUGGGGAUAUUUUUGGCUCUUUUCACUUUGGUCACUUUAAACAUAUUUAUAGCAAUAUUCAACACAGCAUAUGAACAUCAAAACGACAAUACAUAUAAAAAAGACCACAGAAGUGACCUUCUGAAAUUUAUAGGAAGAAUGGACACUAAAACGUUUGAUACCCCUACAUGUGUGUCAUGUGUAAAUCGUUCUUGUCCACCAAGGUUGAGAUGUAUGUGGUUUUGUGAUGAAACAAAUACAAUCGAAAAUCCUACCAAUUAAAUGUAUCAUUCCAUAAUGCAAUAAUUGUUUUUGACGAUGUAACUUGAUGUCAAAAUCAAAGAAGAGAAUUUACAAUUCAACAUUUUAUUCAUGUGAUCAGUUUUCAAAUUUGCAUUUUAAAAAAAAUUGUAUAAUGUCUGUGUUGUAUACAAAAAACAAGUAUUUUUAAUAUGUAGCUUCAAACACAUAAAGUAGUUAGAUUAAAAGACCGCUGUCUAUUUUUAUAUUAUUCUGAAACAUGUUCUAUUUAUCACAAAAACACUUUUAUUCAUGAUUCAUUCAAAUUAUUGAAUAACGUUUAUAUUUAUUAAAAGAA